rnacentral:rRNA from 1 species
AUUGCACGCUGGCGGCAGGCCUAACACAUGCAAGUCGAGCGAGCGGCGGACGGGUGAGUAAUGCCUAGGAAUCUGCCUGGUAGUUGGGGAUAACGUCCGGACACGGUAGCUAAUACAGCAUACCUUCGGAUGUGCCCACAUGGGAUUUGCUAGUUGGUGGGGUAACGGCUCAACUAGGCGACGAUCCCUCUCUGGUCUGAGAGGAUGACCAGCCACACUGGAACGGAGACACGGGCCAGACUCCUACGGGAGGCAGCAGGGGGGAAUAUUGGACAAUGGGCGCAAGCCUGAUGCAGCCAUGCCGCGUGUAUGAAGAAGGCCUUCGGGUUGUAAAGUACUUUCAGCGAGGAGGCGUUACUCGCAGAAGAAGCACAGGCUAACUCCGUGCCAGCAGCCGCGGUAAUAC